rnacentral:rRNA from 1 species
AGCCUUUAGCCCAAUAUUAAAGGUAACGCCUGCCCAGUGACAUGUUCAACGGCCGCGGUAUCCUAACCGUGCAAAGGUAGCGUAAUCACCUGUCCCCUAAAUAGAGACCAGUAUGAACGGCUAAAUGAGAACUAACCUGUCUCCUCUGACUAAUCCGUGAAACUGAUCUACCAGUACAAAAGCUGGUAUAUCCCCAUAAGACGAGAAGACCCUGUGGAGCUUAAAAUUUACGCCAAAACACACUAACCCCCCUGGCCUACGAUUUUAAGUUGGGGCGACUUCGGAACAAAACAAAACUUCCGAGCAUAAAGAGAAUCCAUCUCACCAAGGCCCACAUACCAAAGAAAAAAUGACCCAGUACCACUGAAUAACGAACCAAGUUACCCCAGGGAUAACAGCGCCAUCUUCUUCAAGAGUCCAUAUCGACAAGAAGGUUUACGACCUCGAUGUUGGAUCAGGACACCCCAAUGGUGCAGCCGCUAUUAACGGUUCGUUUGUUCAACGAUUAACAGUCCU